GCCGGGGUGGCCGAGUGGUCUAAGGCGCCCGGCUGCAGACCGGGUUAUUCGCGGGUUCGAAUCCCGCCCCCGGCUCCA
rnacentral:tRNA from 1 species